GGGUUUCAGGGUUAGAUCUUGAAACUUUUUCAAAAUCAUACAGCGGAAGACUAAAAUAAAUCAAAAUUAUUUUAUAAAAUUAGAGAAUCCCUAGAUCUAAGAUCCUAUUACAUGAUUAUUACAUAGUAUUAAAUCAAAAAUUAAAAUAUAUAAAUAUAGCAUGAACUACAUGUUGAUCAUAUCAACAUGUUUCUUUACUACAUCAAAUGUAUGUAUUAAACAAUA
rnacentral:lncRNA from 1 species